AUUGAACGCUGGCGGCAGGCCUAACACAUGCAAGUCGAACGGUAGCACAGAGAGCUUGCUCUCGGGUGACGAGUAGCGGACGGGUGAGUAAUGUCUGGGAAACUGCCCGAUGGAGGGGGAUAACUACCGGAAACGGUAGCUAAUACCGCAUAACGUCGCAAGACCAAAGUGGGGGACCUUCGGGCCUCACACCAUCGGAUGUGCCCAGAUGGGAUUAGCUAGUAGGUGAGGUAAUGGCUCACCUAGGCGACGAUCCCUAGCUGGUCUGAGAGGAUGACAAGCAACACUGGAACUGAGACACGGUCCAGACUCCUACGGGAGGCAGCAGUGGGGAAUAUUGCACAAUGGGCGCAAGCCUGAUGCAGCCAUGCCGCGUGUAUGAAGAAGGCCUUCGGGUUGUAAAGUACUUUCAGCGGGGAGGAAGGCGGUGAAGUUAAUAACUUCACCGAUUGACGUUACCCGCAGAAGAAGCACCGGCUAACUCCGUGCCAGCCGCCCGCCGUAA
rnacentral:rRNA from 1 species